GCUGGGUGUGGUGGCGGGCACCUGUAGUCCCAGCUACUCGGGAGGCUGAGGCAGGGGAAUCGCUUGAACCUGGGAGGCGGAGCUUGUGGUGAGCCAAGAUCACACCACUGCACUCCAGCCUAGGUGACAGAGUGAGACUCUGUCUCAC
rnacentral:SRP_RNA from 2 species